rnacentral:misc_RNA from 1 species
GGGACAGAAACCACACCUCAUUGACAAGUUAAAAUGACAGAUAUAAAUCUAAGAAUGCAGUAUCAAAACUUCAUUACUUUCCUGACAAUGAAGUCUCUGAUAAAAAUUGGAAGAUGGUACAUGAUUGCAGCAACAGUAGACAAAUGGCCAAUAGAAAACCAAGCCGGAGGUUUCUUCUUCAGCACCGCAUUCACGGUCCUCUUUGCAAAUUCUUCUGCA